rnacentral:rRNA from 1 species
UACGGAGGGUGCAAGCGUUAAUCGGAAUUACUGGGCGUAAAGGGUGCGUAGGUGGUUUGAUAAGUUGUCUGUGAAAUUCCUGGGCUCAACCUGGGCAUGUCAGAUGAUACUGUUAGACUAGAGUAUAGGAGAGGGUAGUGGAAUUUCCGGUGUAGCGGUGAAAUGCGUAGAGAUCGGAAGGAACACCAGUGGCGAAGGCGGCUACCUGGCCUAAUACUGACACUGAGGCACGAAAGCGUGGGGAGCAAACAGG